rnacentral:lncRNA from 1 species
GGAGAAUUCCAUAUAAGUUUAAAUUCUCCUAUGUUUCAAACAAAAUAUUCUAAAUAAGGAUUAUGAUUAGUCAUCAAAGAUAUUAAUUAAAGAUAAAAGAGAUAAUAGAUACCUUGGCAUUAUGAGAAAGCCUACCACGUUACCCACCAAUUAGAAAAAGAAUUUGAUAAAAGAAAUUGUAAAAUUCUUUGUGCACCACGGAUAGUGUAAAAAAUCCAAUAUGGAGUGCACCACCUCAUCCGAUAGAUACACGUAGUCACCACUUUUUAAUACAUAUUUAAUACCUGC